AUGGGCAAUUUCUUCUCUCUUGAGGGUUCCUGCAAUGGAUUGUUUCUUGCCCGCAUUCGGGCGGCCACCCCUGCUGGAACAGUUCGCUACAUGGUCUCCAAUCCAGCUACGAGUGAGUACACUGUGCUGCCUGACUCUGGCUCCGCCGGCAACAUCUGCCGUGCUUACCUGGGUUUCAACAGUGGUGUUUCCACUCAAGAGUUUCAUGUGUUCGAGUUUGUACUGGAUUGGCCAGACUGGACUAUGACAGGAGUCAACAUUUACUCUUCAAAAACUGGUGCUUGGGUUGCAAUGGACCCCCAGUGGGACAUCCAAGUUAGGCUGUGCUGGCGUGAACCGAGAGUUUUCCGUAAGGGGUGUCUGCACUUGCUCAUACGUCAGUUUGGGUUGGCAAUAGUUGACGCACAAGGGCUAAACUGGAGAGUGGAGAAUCAUCCAGCUACCAAUUAG
rnacentral:rRNA from 1 species